rnacentral:rRNA from 1 species
GAAUUCAACUCCUACGGGAGGCAGCAGUGGGGAAUUUUGGACAAUGGGGGCAACCCUGAUCCAGCAAUGCCGCGUGAGUGAAGAAGGCCUUCGGGUUGUAAAGCUCUUUUGUCAGGGAAGAGACGGUAGUAGCUAAUAUCUAUUACUAAUGACGGUACCUGAAGAAUAAGCACCGGCUAACUACGUGCCAGCAGCCGCGGUAAUACGUAGGGUGCAAGCGUUAAUCGGAAUUACUGGGCGUAAAGCGUGCGCAGGCGGUUAUGUAAGACAGAUGUGAAAUCCCCGGGCUCAACCUGGGACCUGCAUUUGUGACUGCAUAGCUAGAGUACGGUAGAGGGGGAUGGAAUUCCGCGUGUAGCAGUGAAAUGCGUAGAUAUGCGGAGGAACGCCGAUGGCGAAGGCAAUCCCCUGGACCUGUACUGACGCUCAUGCACGAAAGCGUGGGGAGCAAACAGGAUUAGAAACCCCGGUAGUCCAGGCGUU